CGGCAACAGCUCAAAUUUGAAAUCUGGCCCUCGGGUCCGAAUUGUAAUUUGCAGAGGAUGAUUUUGGUGCGGUAUCUUCCGAGUUCCUUGGAACAGGACGCCUUAGAGGGUGAGAGCCCCGUACGGUUGAAUGCCUAGCCUUUGUAAAUCUCCUUCGAC
rnacentral:rRNA from 1 species